UUUGAUAUAAAUAUAAAAGGUCCAGCCUGCCCAGUGACCUAGUUCAACGGCCGCGGUAUCCUAACCGUGCGAAGGUAGCGUAAUCACUUGUUCUUUAAAUGAGGACUAGUAUGAAUGGCACCACGAGGGUUAAACUGUCUCCUUUUUCUAAUCAGUGAAACUAAUCUCCCCGUGAAGAAGCGGGGAUUAUCAUAUAAGACGAGAAGACCCUAUGGAGCUUAAAACAAAUUAACACCUGCUUCCACCUAUUUUUAUUCCUGAGCUAACACACAAAAUACAGCAUUACUGAUUAAUAGUUUUCGAUUGGGGUGAUCAUGGAGUAAAAACUAACCUCCACGACGAAAGGGCCUCUUCCCUGAGCUAAAAGCUACAACUUUAGGCACUAAAAAAUUAACGCACUUUGACCCAAAUUUUUGAGCAACGAAC
rnacentral:rRNA from 1 species